UUUGGAUCAAGGUCUAUUGAGGAUAGAGGUCGAAGCAUAGCUUGUUUCUGUUCCGACAUUUUGAAGCUGCGUUUGACACUUCGAUUAGAAAGUGUUUACAAACAACUCACGCAGCAAUCUACAGCAUCGAGUAGAACAUAAUCGAUACCUUUACUGCAAAAGAACAAGGAAACAAGAGAUAUGUAUCAUAAUUUUAAACUGCGUUCAAUACGGAAACAAUAUUUGUCAACAACGUUCUUUCAUACAGGUGCUGAAAACAACUUUAUACAGCAUUCUUCCCACAGGAAUUUGCGUCUCACAACUUGCCUUCCAGUGAGUUUGGUGAAGGUUUUCGGUAUAUAUGCGAAGAAAUAAGAAAUGCUUGCAAUGUUUAAUGAGGUGAUAUUCUUUUGAAUGAAGCAUGUUCAAACCAGCUUUUUUGUUGUACAAUCCAACGAUCCGGCUGCUGUUCUUAUCAAAUAAUGCUUCAAAUAUCGCAGCGUUUGUUUUACGGUAGCUGAACAACACUUUUAAACUAGCUUAUAGAUUGCAAGCACCAACUCGCAGUGUAUAACUGGAACCAACCACAGAACCUUUCUCGCAUAAAGAUCGUCGUCUAAACAUGCUCAACAAUGGAAUACGGUGAUAGUAUAUGAAGCGCGGCGUGCAAACAACACACAACUCCCAGCCAAUCGCUAGCGAUUUCUUAUUUUCAUUGUGUUUUCUGAAUGUUUGUGAUGGUGAUCACUCAAUGCUUAAUUCCAGGUUUUUGUGGAGCACCUGGACAGGAACGUGCACAACGUGCCCUGAAGAUGCAGCUAGUCGGCUUGAGGAAGGAUUAUAUUUGGGGCCCGCGAAUGGGGAGGAAUAUAUUUGUAUAUUCCGUACCCAACGAAGCGAUGGUACGGUGCAAAGUGUAGUGUCCAGGCCAACAGCUGUUCCGGCAGUCUGAGAGUUCGGAGUUUGACGAGUAGUAAGGAAUGUGGAACAGUGGCGGAUUAAGGAUCGGGGGCUCUAAGCGGUAAGACUAGUUGAGGCCCCCUAUAAAUGGUAAAUGGUGGUAAUGGUGUAGGGGAUAAUCAUUGGCUCAAUCACAGGUUCUAAAAUUUUUGCUGGCCACGAGAAGGGGGGGGGGGGGGUGCAAAUGAAGCCUCGGGGGCCCUUGCCGCUAUUACUCUGUCCAAGGCAUAAUAUAGACUAGAGAACUACGGGGCCCCUAAAUCGGCGGGGACCCAGGCGACCGCCUAGUCCGCCUACCGUUAGAUCCGCCACUGAUGUGGAACACUAUCGAAAGCAGCCUUGGCCGAUUUGAAGCAUCGAUAGUGUCAGCCGAGUGAUUCGUGCGUUGUGAUCGCUGCCUUCUGAUUUCCGGCCAGCAUCUGCAACUGUACGAUGGCAAACCUUACCUGUAGCAGCUCGUUUGUACGUCCGGCCAACAGCUAAACCGCAUAGACCUGAACAGUAGCAUUAAUAGUGCUAUGGCAAAAGUUAAAGGCGAUUCGGACUGAAGAAGUUUGAGACUGCACAAGGUACCAUGAGCAAAUCGACAUUUGAGAAGGUGCGUAGGAGCGAUGUAAUGCCGUUCGGUACAAAAUCGCUACAAAACUAUACAAAUCAUGAGCGGAAAGAUUCUUUCUCGUCCAUUUUAGCAGACGUAGUUACGGAAGCUAGAGGUUUUAGGUUUGGAGUUUCAAAGUGUGCGAAGGUUCCUUCUAGAUCUACGACCAAGGCAUCGCAAGCCGACGCACUUUAUAGACUAUUAUACUUCAUUUCAACUAUUUUACUGCAGAAAAGACUCCAUAAAUUGUAGUGGCUAUCAAGAAAUUCACAUAAAAAAUGUAUUUCAUACUAAUAUCUUUCUGUACAAAGUUCUGUAUUAUUAGUUAUAUUUACAGGAUACAAGUUUAAUAGUCGAUAUACUGUAUAUCAUGAAUAAACUAUGUACAUAAACAGAUUCAUAGCUCUACUUGACAAAGCGCAAUCAUUAACUGAAAUUCCUUAAAUGCAAAGCGCAUUCCUUGAAUUCAUUAGCUUUCCUAACUUACUAAUCUUAACAACUAAAAGGAUGAGUAUUUCAUACUAUAGCUACAUAUUACAAGAUAACUUGCCUUAGCUCUAAUCACUAUUACCACUAUUACACUAUUACUGUAAUAUUCAAAGGAACACAAUCAAUAAACAGUAAUCACUAAGAUUUCAUUUUAACACAUAAAAGAAAAAAAUCGUAUCAGUACGUCCCAAAAUUAUAAUUAUGUACAUUAAUUUUACAUAAAUAACAUACGUAUCGAUGUGCUACGUUGAUCAUGAUGUUAAGUAAUGUAGCGAUUAUUGAAUGAUUGAUGAUACAUUUUUAACGAAAUGAAAGUAAGCAAAGAUGACCCGGCAUGAAGAAGAACAGAAUCGCUAUUUUACAAGCGGGUGCAAUUAAAAGACUGAAACAACUAAGUCAAUUGUAACACAUUUAAAUUGAAACUUAUGAUUGGAUUCAGGAUCAAUUACAAAUAUAAUUGAAUUGAAUUGGUAAUCUUUUUAAUGAAGAAUGGGCCAUGCAAUCUAAAAAUGAAAAAUAUUAUUAAAUUAACAAAUAAAUAAGUUAAUAAAUAGGUGAAUAAAUAACUACAUGUGUAAUACCUUAA